rnacentral:lncRNA from 13 species
AUGUGUUGUUCCCAUUGGUUCCCUUCCUGUCAAUCCCACCUGCUUGUCUCUAUCCCAUUGGCUGUGAUCCCCUUCCCCACCUAUUCUGUACCCAGUAUAAGAUCCCUGGACCCUCCCACCUAUUGGUCUCUUCGUCCCUGUCGUUUUAUGGGAAUAAACCUGUGUGGAAUACCUACGGAGAGUCUCCUCUCUUUAAUUCUUUACCUUCGCCUGUGUGCCUGCUCAACAGCGACAGAAGGAUACAGCCCCUUUUGGAGUUCUUCCUCCCCCUGCAGCUGAUUCCUUGUAGCAGUAAGACCAGUGGAUUCUUGUACUGGGUGUGGAGGGGCUACAGGGGUGAUGUCUGCGAGAAGCUGCUGGAAGCCUCCUCCAUGUCUGAUAGAGAAAAUGCCAGCCAGCUCCAGGAUAGCCCUUCCACUGGCCAAGGCCAAGCUCAAGCCCAUCACCGACAUUGGUAGCGCCUCUGGGAUGACAUUUUUAAGAAGGGUAGAAAAGUUGUUGCACAGAAGCAGAUUUCAGCCAGAGUGAGGAAUGAAAAUAUGUGAGAGCAACAGCUCUGCGGGAGCCAAGGUCAGUGCAGAAGGAGGGGGAGGAGAUGCUCCAGGCGCCAAAGCUGAGAUUCUCCUGCAGCCUGUGGUGAAAACCAUGGUGAGGCAGCUGUGCCCCUGCAGCCCACGGAGGUCAGUGCGGGAGUAGAGAUCCACCUGCAGCCCAUGGAAGACCCCCACACUGGAGCACAUGGAUGCCUGGAGGCUGGGAACCUGUGGGAAGCCGGAACAGGCUCCUGGGAGGAUCUGUGGCCCUGUGAAGAGCUGAGCCCAUGCUGGAGCAGGUCUGCUGUUGGGACUUGUGACCCUGUGGGGACCCACACUGGAGCAGCCUGUUCCUGAAGGACUGACUGUACCCCGUGGAAAGAACCCAUGGCAGGACAUGUUGUGAGGAAUUGCAGCCCGUGAAAAGGACCCACAUUGGAACAGUGAGUAUACAGUCUUUGUGGUAGGCUGUUUCUACUGGGAGCAGGAGAGAAGGAAGCAGUGUCAGAAACAAUAGAUGAUGAACUGAGCGUAACCCCCAUUCCUGUUCCCCUGCGUUGGGGGAAGACGGGUAGAGAAUCAGGAGUAAAAUUAAGCUCAGGAAGAAGGAAGGGGUGUGGGGAAGGUGUUUUAAGAUUUGGGUUUAUUUCUCAUUAUCUUAGUCUGAUUUGAUUGUUAGUUAAUUAAACUAAUUUCCCCGAGUCUGUUUUGUCUGUGACAGUAAUUGGUGAGUGAUCUCUCCUGUCCUUUUUCUCAACACGUGAGCCUUUUUGUUAUAUUUUCUCGCUCCUGCCCUGCUGAGAAAGGGAGGUGAUGCAGUGGCUGUGGUGGGCACCAGGAAACCUGUAUAGCUGUAGUGUGGCAUUAAAAGUGACUUGGAUACUUUGUGUAUGGCUAUACCAUAAUUGAUUUGUUUUUUUAACAGAUACCUGAAUCUUCAAUUUGUGUAGUUCUGGAGCAAGAGCAUUAAUAGUAAAAUAACGUCGUAGUUGUUGUUCUGGCAUUCAGAGUUAGCCUAGCUCCCCGCUCGGGCCAUCGGGAGCAGGCCCUGUGGCCCGUACCCCCUCAGCCGUGCAUCCGACCCACGCCUGUUUUGCUUUGCCCCGGGUCCCGCCGCGGGGCGGGCGGGGCGCUGCGGCCGCCGCCCGGCAGGGGGCGGUGCCGGCGGAGGCCGCGCGCUGUGCCCGAGCGCCGCUCGGUACCCGCGCGGGCGGCGGUGGGAGUUGGGCCCGGGGGACGGGGCGGGCCGGGGGCGGCU